UACGGGGGGGGCAAGCGUUGUUCGGAAUUACUGGGCGUAAAGGGCUCGUAGGCGGCCCUCUCAGUCGGAUGUGAAAUCCCCAGGCUUAACCUGGGAAUGGCAUCCGAUACUGGAGGGCUUGAAUUCGGGAGAGGGAUGCGGAAUUCCAGGUGUAGCGGUGAAAUGCGUAGAUAUCUGGAGGAACACCGGUGGCGAAGGCGGCAUCCUGGACCGAUACUGACGCUGAGGAGCGAAAGCCAGGGGAGCAAACGGG
rnacentral:rRNA from 1 species